GGAAAAAAGAGAAUAUCUACAAAGAGAAUAAAAAGAACACAAUCGCCGCAUAUCGUUUUCAUUCUCGUUUGUGUGUUCGUUGAAGCGGAACGUGUUGUUCGUGUUGUAUUUUAAAUAAAUUGAUUAGAAAAAUUUAGUGCUAGGAAACAUGGCGGCAGCCGAACGUGAUUUGCCCUGCGAAUUUUCCUGCGAUACCGUUAGUUAACGGAUCGCACUAAGGAAAAAUUUCGCAGAGGCAAUAUCACGUUUCGAAAACAUUUUGCUGUACGAUCAGCGGAGUGAAAGUGUCCGGAAUGACUCCGUAACGACGGGUUCGGAUUCAAAUCGGACGCCUAUUAUGAUGUUUUUACCGCUACUGGAUUCAAAUAAACAACAUGUGCUUUUUUCAAGAUAGUAUCGAUCAUUUUAUUAUAAACACAAUAGUUUGUUUUCACUAUACAAAAUAAAACAAGUCAUUUCGCUGCAAAA